UUGAAUCUGAGUUCUUAGUGGAGAUAAAAAUUGAGGGAUAAGGGAGCAGAAAAUGACUUAAACCUAACAAAUUCCAUUAAGUGUUUAAGUAUUCAAAACCUAACAUUCCAUUAAUGUUUAAGUGCUAAAACCUAACCCAUUAUGAGUUGUUUAAGGCCAAAUAGUGUUGCUUGGUAGCCUAUAAAUAGAGGCUACAACAUAGAACAAUUCACUCAUUCAUACAUCAAAACAUCUCUAAGAUGAUCUAAGUUCUCUCUAGAGCAAACCUCUCUAAGAGCAACUCCUUUCCUUCUCUUUCUCUUAUAGGUGAUCACACUCUAAGUCCUAGUCUCCUCAGGAGCCGACUAUCAGUGCCACCAAACCCUCUGUCAAAGUGCUUCGGUCCUAGUCUCCUCGGGAGCCGACUGUCGUACCGCGACCACAACGGUUACGGAACCAGCCAAGCAAGGGUAACGCCCUAGCAACCCAGCCAAGCUAAAGUCACGCUUUAGCAAGUACUUCUCUCUACUUCCCGGUGAUUUCGCUCUGCUUAACCUACAACGUUAAGUAUCGACUUGGUGACACAAGACAAAGUCCUCCAGCACGAGGCACAAAGAAUCCUGCGACGAGGUUGGUGCUCUCCUCGUCUACAGUCGCUCAAAAGAAGUCAGGUCAAGGGACACCCCCAACGACCGCACCCGAACGGUGCUGGCACGCCCGCGCAGAAAAGAGACUGUUGACCAGCUGCAACAAAAUUGGAGCCAAACAGUCCAAAUACAAAUAAUGGAGGUUUUCUUCAAACAAUAAGGAGCUGGGUCAACUAUUCAAUCAAAUGAAACUGAGCAUGUUUCCCAUCUCUUCUCGAGAAACAAGUGGGCUAUGCGCAUGCAAAAUUGUGGUCAAUUUCAUAUGUGGAACCAAAAAACGAAAAGAAAAGAAUGAAUGAUGUCUGCUUGCUAGAGAGUACAGCAUAGCGCUACAACAAGAUCCUUCAGAAGGAGUUUUAAUGACCUAUUUACCAGACUUAUGGGAGGGGGUAAAUAGAGUCAAUAUAACUGAUGUGGACGGUGAUUGAUUUUCUGUCGAACAAGACAUGAUUAGAAUUCUGGAUCGUAAACCUUGUGAUUUGGAUAGGUGUCUGAUUCUUAUGAAGACGUGUUACCCUGAAAUAUCAUAGGAAACUAGAUGAUGGGAAUUGACUGUUAAAUAGGAAAAUAAAAUUGUUUAGCAAAUUAACUUGGAUAGGUGUUUUUCCGAGCAUAACAGGAUUGAUCGAACUCUCCCUUGA